GUCGAGGCGUUUUUCCUGUCCCCGCGCGGCUCCGCGGGGCUGCAGCGCCAGAAGGUUCUGCUCAAGCUGGGGGACCAGCGGGGUCCGUGCGAGGCGGACGCGCUCCGUGCCCCGCCCUACGCCAAUGUCACCUCCGUGUCCGACGUUGUCACCGCGCGCUUCCUGUGCUCGGGCGGCCACGAGCCCCAGGUGGACCCCAACGCCUGCCCCGGUGACUCCGGUGGCCCGGUCGUUGUCACCUGGGGGAAGCGACACUUCCAGGUCAGAGGGGACACUGGGG